rnacentral:rRNA from 1 species
UACGAAGGGGGCUAGCGUUGUUCGGAUUUACUGGGCGUAAAGCGCACGUAGGCGGAUUCUUAAGUCAGGGGUAAAAUCCCGAGGCUCAACCUCGGAACUGCCUUUGAUACUGGGGAUCUUGAGUUCGGGAGAGGUGAGUGGAAUUGCGAGUGUAGAGGUGAAAUUCGUAGAUAUUCGCAAGAACACCAGUGGCGAAGGCGGCUCACUGGCCCGAUACUGACGCUGAGGUGCGAAAGCGUGGGGAGCAAACAGG